AUUUCGUAUUGUUAUAAUCCGUUGUUUAAAGAUGUCAUCCAUUUCUGUCAGGUUUUUUUUCCAAAUUAAACAAGUACUCACAAUGUUUCAGAUUUACGUUUCAUUAUGUUUUAAUUCAACCGUUACAAUUUUUACAUCGCGUGCGCAUUUGAUGACGCCAUAUGUACGCAUGCUCACGAAACAUUUCGCGAACAAAAAAUUGCAAACGCAAGCAUAGGAAGCCCAAUACUGCAAUAGUUAGUGGUAAUCGGCAUAAAAAUGACUAAAAUAGUUUAAAAUUAAACAAAAUUUCAUUGUAUUAUCGUGAAAAUAUUCUACCAACCGUUUUUGUAGCCAUAGGUGUUAAAUUAAACCAUAUAUGCGAUGCUCAAUCUCUGAUUCGCAGUGCGAGUGGCGUAGUGACGUAUAAGUAUUUUGCUAAUCAGAGAUUGAGCAUCGCAUGGUUUAAAUUAACACCUAUGGCUACAAAAACAGUUGGUAGAAUGUUUUCACGGUAGCAAAAUGAAAUUUUAUUGAAUUUUAAACUACUUUAGUAAUUUUAAUGCCUAUAUAUAUAUUACCAUUAACUAUUGGGCCUCCUAUGACGCAAGACUAAAUUGCAAAACGCAAUACCCCAUUACAUCAAGUAAAACUCAUAACAACUGAAUAACAAGCAUAAGUAGUCCAAAAAAAUGAAAAUUCUAUAAAAAAUCAUAACAUUAAUUUCAAAAUGCUCUCACAAUUGUUUUCAGUGACCAAGAAUUAGUGCAACAAACCACAGAGGAGAGAUAUGCAGCACAGAGUAGAGACAUAUAUCUCUUAUCUACUCUAUGUAUGCAGAGAGGAAACUCACACUGGAUAACCUCAAUUUUUGGCACGCGUUCCACGCGCCGGCGGCGCCACGCCAAAUUUCCCAGUCAGUACCGUCGCUGAAAUUUCAUAGCAAAAGUCAUUGAAAAGAUAGGGAAAACGCCGUUCGAAAGGUGAAAAUGGUUUUUUUUUAAAAUGAGAUACCCAUGGAAAUUUUGUUCAAUAAAUUAUUGUAGAAUAACGAUAAGCGAUCACUUUUAUUGAUUUCCUUUUAUUAUACAAGUGUUAACAUGACAUUUUAUUUUGCAAAAGUUUGUUUUUUUCCCUAUCUACUACUUAUUAAAAUCAUGAAAUGCACUGGCUAUAGGAAUUUCAGAUGCUCAUGCAUGUAUAAAUAACAAAGCAGCGAAUGAUAUAAAUUCCUCAAAAUAUAGUCUUGCCGAUAAAAAUACUUCUAUAAUAUAGUUUUAUUCGUCUGCAUUAUCAAAAUUUAAUAAAAUAGUAAAGCACUAACGGGAUACGUGUAAGAUCCUGACCACAUUACAAUUUAAAACUAUGCAAAAUAAUCACAAACAACAAUUAAACAGUCCCCCGGAAUCACGCACCGAUUAAAUGUCCAAGUGCAUGGCAAGUCUAUGUCAAAUGACUUGCCUAACUAUCUACAGUAAAUCAUAGCCCGCGUGCAGGCCCAAGGAAACUGAUAGUGGGCCUGCAAGCAAGGCCCGGUAUUUUGUAAAACGCCCCUUUUCAUAACACGGCCCCAUUCGCGCGUCAAUUGUCAAAAAAGAACCAAUGACAGCAACCCAAAUAUUAACAAACAAACUCGCAUUAAAAUGUUGCGGGGUUUUCUCUGCUUUAAUAUUCAAAAUAGAAACAAUGUCUAAAGCCUGUAAAUGCCUGUGUUAAAACUCCAAAAAGAACAAGCAACGCAG
rnacentral:lncRNA from 1 species